CCUACGGGAGGCAGCAGUGAGGAAUAUUGGUCAAUGGACGCAAGUCUGAACCAGCCAUGCCGCGUGCAGGAAGACGGCUCUAUGAGUUGUAAACUGCUUUUGUACGAGGGUAAACGCAUAUACGCGUAUCUGUCUGAAAGUAUCGUACGAAUAAGGAUCGGCUAACUCCGUGCCAGCAGCCGCGGUAAUACGGAGGAUUCAAGCGUUAUCCGGAUUUAUUGGGUUUAAAGGGUGCGUAGGAGGUCGGAUAAGUUAGAGGUGAAAUCCCGAGGCUCAACUUCGGAAUUGCCUCUGAUACUGUUCGGCUAGAGAGUAGUUGAGGUAGGCGGAAUGUAUGGUGUAGCGGUGAAAUGCUUAGAGAUCAGACGGAACACCGAUUGCGAAGGCAGCUUACCAAGCUACUUCUGACGUUGAGGCACGAAAGCGUGGGUAGCAAACAGGAUUAGAUACCCUUGUAGUC
rnacentral:rRNA from 1 species